GCGUUGAAACACCGGUUCCCAUACGAUCACCGAAGUUAAGCAGCAUCAAUCCUGGUCAGUACUAAGAUGGGUGACCGCUUAGGAAUACCAGUUGCUGUAAG